ensembl:lncRNA
GUUCAAGUCACUGAUUGCAAACAGACAUGAAGCCAAGUGUCAGAGUCAGAGAGGAGCUCCAUUUUUAUUUUCUAAUUCACACUCUAUUGUGUCUGACUGGCCAAGUCAGAAGCACUUUUCCAGACUUUAAGAUGAUGGUUUAAUACAGCAAUGAUUAACAUUUUAUGUCCCGUUUGACUAUGCCAUAUAGUGUACACGGAUCAGCCAUAACAUUAAAGCCACCUACCUAAUAUUGUGUUGGUCCCCUUGUGCCACGAAAACAGCUCUGACCUGUCGAGGCAUCGAUACAGCAAGACCUGUGAAGGUGUGGUGUGGUAUCUGGCACCAACACAUCUGCGGCAGAUCCUUUAAGUCCAUGUCGCAGAGCACAAUAUCCUGCUGAAAGAGGCCACAACCAUUAAGGAAUACUGCAGCAAUGCCAGGGUGUACUUGGUCUGCAACAAUGUUCAGUAGGUCUUCUGUGGGAUCAGACCAGAUGGGCUAGCCUUCACUUCCCACACACAUCAGUGAUCCUUGAGUGCCCAUGAUCCUGUUGCCAGUUCACUGGUUGUCCUUCCUUGGACAGUGUUUGAAUCUUCUGCCGAAACAUGGAUGCAGCAGGAGGACUAGAGAGAAGGCACGCCACAGCAACUAGGAAAAUCGUAGGACAAUACCGCAUCGGGGAAUGCUCGGAUUACUGGCCGCAUUUUUCAUCCGUGCAAUUUCCCCAAAGGUAUGCCAUUGAAUUGCCGCCAGAGACAGCGGGAUUGGGGAGCUACCCGCUGGAGUUUCUCUUCAGCUGCCAGGAGUAUUUCUGCAGCUUGGCGGUUCCCAAGCCUACUAAGAGAGAGUGGAUCGGGUUCCUGGUGUCCAGGUUUUGCGGCCCGGCCCGUGACUGGGUGGAGCAGCUGGUGAGUGCUGGGUCGCCAGCCCUCCAUGAUGUCACUCAGUUUACAGAGCUGUUUAUGGAGGAGUUUUCACAGCCUGGACAACUUCGUGGUCUUGAUUUACUGGGGUGGAGAGCCAAUGGACAGCCCCAGGUUGACCCACCAUUCAACCUCUAUUAUGAGGAGAUGGACAGGGCAGCAACCAGCGAUUCACUUCAGUUUCCGGCCAACACGGGGGCGAAAUCCCCGAGAUGUAUGACCGAGGGCUGCGGGAGAGAGACUCAACUUCAAUGUCCCACUUGCAGGAAGCUGGGCCUCCAGGAAGCUUUCUUCUGCUCUCAGGAAUGCUUCAAGAGCAGCUGGCAGGAGCAUAAGAAACUCUACCGGAGAGCCCGUGCAGAGACCCAGCCUGGGACCGACAGGGUGACCUCAGAGCUCGAACCUGAGCCCCACGAGGUGGGCUCACCCGCCAAGCUCCAACAAAAGGUCCAAAUCCAAGUCAAGUCUCACGUCCCUGAGAUCCAGGUCAAGUCUCACGUCCCUGAGAUCUAGGUCAAGUCUCACGUCCCUGAGAUCCAGGUCCAGCCGCCAGCCCCUGAGCUCCAAGCCAAGCCUCCAGUCCCUGAGCUCCAAGCCAAGCCUCCAGUCCCUGAGCUCCAAGCCAAGCCUCCAGUCCCUGAGCUCCAAGCCAAGCCUCCAGUCCCUGAGCUCCAAGCCAAGCCUCCAGUCCCUGAUGUCCAAGUCAAGCCUCCAGUCCCUGAUGUCCAAGUCAAGCCUCAAGUCCCUGAGAUCCAAGUCAAGCCUCAAGUCCCUGAGAUCCAAGUCAAGCCUCCAGUCCCUGAGAUCCAAGUCAAGCCUCAAGUCCCUGAGAUCCAAG